UACGAAGGGGGCUAGCGUUGUUCGGAGUUACUGGGCGUAAAGGGCGCGUAGGCGGCCCUCCAAGUCGGGUGUGAAAGCCCACGGCUCAACCGUGGAAUUGCACUCGAGACUGAAGGGCUCGAGGACGAGAGGAUGGCGGAAUUCCCAGUGUAGAGGUGAAAUUCGUAGAUAUUGGGAAGAACACCGGUGGCGAAGGCGGCCAUCUGGACCGUAUCUGACGCUGAGGCGCGAAAGCGUGGGGAGCAAACAGG
rnacentral:rRNA from 1 species